UGCAGUGGGAUGACAUGCAACUACUGAAGCUCCAUGCUGGAUUCACUAGUAAAUACUCAGCACUCAGUAAUGUUUAUUCAUCCUAUGCUCUGCCCUGAAUGCCAGUCUAGGACUCUCCAGUUUCUCACUAACACCCAGAGCCAUUUCAAUUCCCAGCAACAGCGAGAAUGGAAAGAAGCAGCAUUCAUUUCAGGUUGUGCAGAACUGCUGCGGAAACACUUGGCAGACAGCUGAGCGCACCCUACCCUGAAGAGAACCUCAUCCAAAGGCCUCCUUGGUGUACAUAUUGGACCAAACUAAGCAUUUCUUACCCUGGACAGAAGCAGUCUUACUCACAUCUUUAGCUCAUUAUGUAAUGAACUCCAUCAACCACCUUAAAGACCCCACGUAAUGCAUGCUGCCCUGGACAGCUGUGCCCUCCUUUCCCCGUCUGAGGGCAAGCACUAAUGCAGGAGGUGUGUUUGUGGAGAUGAGUUUGACAUCUGCCUCAUUUAGUUAUCUCUUUGGCACCGUGUUCAUUGUUACAGUACGUGCUGGAAUUAAUUCUGGUUUGCAAUACUCUUAAACAUUAUAAAAGUAUCUUAGGCCCACCAGCCAUUGCUAUGACUAUCUGAUAAACCUUUCCCCUCAGACUUUUGGAAAAUGUAGCUCUUAUUAUUUUCUUUGUGAUUUUGCUUAAUCUUUCUAUUUUGAUCUGCAGUUCAUGGGUUUAGUAAGGGGCUUUAUUGUUUGUAUUUAUGUUUAUUUCUUUCCUUCUUUGAAGUUUUAAUACUGUUUUUUAAUAGAUUUAUAUUUUUUGGACUCUGCAAUGAACUUUGAAACUUCAGAUUUUCCACCCUUCCUCAAGUUACCCAGCCAUUAAAAGAAUAUCCUUUCAGUAAAUGUUCCUUUUUCCCAUUCACCCUCUAUACAACAGGGAGAUGUUCUGAAAAACGCUCCCUUCAGUGGCAUCACAACAGUGCUGCGAGAUUUUAAUAUUGUUGUACCAGCUGAACUCAUGCCUUUUUCUACCUCCCUACACCAAAGUGAAGAGUGAAGGUUAUCUGGUUCCUUUUCUUCCCAGAUGACAAAUCAGGCAAAGUAGGGGCGGUUGGCUUUCAUACUACGUGCACUUAUUACUGCAAUCCCAAUGGCAGAGGCAAACUGCAUCCAACUGCGGUGGUUCAGCUAAUGAAAACAAAAGGACAUGCAGCAGAAGUCUCAUCUUCCUCCUG